GACGAACGCUGGCGGCGUGCUUAACACAUGCAAGUCGAACGAAGUGGCGAACGGGUGAGUAACGCGUAAUCAACCUGCCCUUCAGCGGGGGACAACAGUUGGAAACGACUGCUAAUACCGCAUACUGAAGGAGGGGAUUGCGUCUGAUUAGCUAGUUGGAGGGGUAACGGCCCACCAAGGCGAUGAUCAGUAGCCGGGCUGAGAGGAGGAACGGCCACAUUGGGACUGAGACACGGCCCAGAUUCCUACGGGAGGCAGAAGUGGGGAAGCUUCCGCAAUGGACUAAAGUGUGACGGAGCAACGCCGCGGGAGUGAGGACGGCGUACGGGUUGUAAAGCUCUGUUAAUCGGGACGCGGUACCGGAAUAGAAAGCCACGGCUAACUACGUGCCAGCAGCCGCGGUAAUUC
rnacentral:rRNA from 1 species